CAAGAAGUGACACUGGCCUGGAAGAAUACUAAAUUUCUACCUUUUCCAUACCACUCAUACAAAGCAGUGCUAAAUUUAAUUCCUAAAAACCUCUUGACUCUCCGAUAUACUUCAUGCUCACCUCCAACACUGUAAUAAUGGACCACUUCAUUUCUCACCAAAUGACUAUGGGGGCAUUCCUAAUGUGGGCAUUGUUAAACUAUGUUCUUAGAACUUUGGGUACUUCCUGGAUUGCUGAGGGAAGGGAGAAGGGAGGCAGAACAAUCAAGUCUUAAGUUCCUCAUCCCUAUCUCAAGCAAGAUCGGAAAUUGAUGGGAAAAUAAAGCCCAUGGAGAAACAGAAGACUUCCUGUCAUUCUCUGUCCUUAGACCCACGAGCAAUAGUGACUCUCAGAUGGAGCAGGAAGAAGGAAGACAGACAACAGAGGUCAGGCCUUUAAUCAACAAUGAAAUUGAAAAUUAAGGACAGAGAAUGAGAAUUCAGAGUGAGAAAAAGAAACCUGAAGACAGUAUGGAGUCAAUGAAACCAAGGCCAGAGGGCGUUUCUACUUUGUUGAAAAAGGAUGAACAGUCAACAAGAAUAGUAAAAAAAGUGUCCAAUAAAUUGUGCAACCCAGAAAGCAAAUCUAGAAAAUUAGAUUUUGCUGUGAUUUUUUUUUGUGGGGGAGGGGAUCCAAAAUAAAGUGGUUUGAAGAUGUAGGAACAGG
rnacentral:lncRNA from 1 species